UGGGGAGUACGGCCGCAAGGUUAAAACUCAAAUGAAUUGACGGGGGCCCGCACAAGCGGUGGAGCAUGUGGUUUAAUUCGAUGCAACGCGAAAAACCUUACCCACCUUUGACAUGUACGGAAUCCUUUAGAGAUAGAGGAGUGCUCGAAAGAGAGCCGUAACACAGGUGCUGCAUGGCUGUCGUCAGCUCGUGUCGUGAGAUGUUGGGUUAAGUCCCGCAACGAGCGCAACCCUUGCCAUUAGUUGCUACGAAAGGGCACUCUAAUGGGACUGCCGGUGACAAACCGGAGGAAGGUGGGGAUGACGUCAAGUCCUCAUGGCCCUUAUAGGUGGGGCUACACACGUCAUACAAUGGCUGGUACAAAGGGUUGCCAACCCGCGAGGGGGAGCUAAUCCCAUAAAGCCAGUCGUAGUCCGGAUCGCAGUCUGCAACUCGACUGCGUGAAGUCGGAAUCGCUAGUAAUCGUGGAUCAGAAUGUCACGGUGAAUACGUUCCCGGGUCUUGUACACACCGCCCGUCACACCAUGGGAGCGGGUCUCGCCAGAAGUAGGUAGCCUAACCGCAAGGAGGGCGCUUACCACGGCGGGGUUCGUGACUGGGGUGAAGUCGUAACAAGGUAGCCGUAUCGGAAGGUGCGGCUGGAUCACCUCCUU
rnacentral:rRNA from 1 species